AUGGCACGGAGUUCUUCUGGUCAAUGAGAUGUUGGAGGCGGUGUGUGUGGAAGUCUUUCCUAAAUAAAGAGAUGAAGCCCAUAAAGACAUGGUGCCUGGAAGAGCAACUGACAUAUUGAAAUGCUGAUGGAGAUACUUGGUGAUGUUGGACUCACCAUUAGCUUCUCUUCACCUCCUUCCUGAUCGUCAUCCCAUUUUUAAAAACUUCAAGGCUUCUCAACUCUGAAGUUCCAUACAAUUCUGAUGAGAACAACAGCAUGCAGUUUUGUGGGACGGACAGGCUCAUCCAAAAAUAUGUUUGAAAGUGCAAAGGACCAGAAGGAACUAAGAUAAUCUUUGAGAAUAAAAAAAUUGAAGGACUUAUACUACCAUAUAUGAAGACUUUUUGUAAAGCUAUAGGAAAUUAAAACAUGUGCUCUUGGAGCAAGGAGAGACAGUAAUGAACAGAAGAGCCAAUUCAGAAGUUAACCCACGUAUGACACCAGUCACCUAGUUUGUGACAAAAGUGCCAGUACGAUGCUGCGGGGAAAGAAUCGGUGAUUGGGCAAGUGGAGCGCAAUCCUUCUAGAAUUCCCUAGCUGCCUCUCUCUUCACACCUUUGAGCUUUGGGCGUCACCAUCCCUGAGGAAGCCCACCCAUCCCUGUGAAUACAGCCCCUCUAGGGGCCCUCCUCCAAUCAUCCUGAUUUGAGUG